rnacentral:rRNA from 1 species
UAUACGACCGUACCGCAAACCGACACUGGUGCGCGAGAUGAGUAUUCUAAGGCGCUUGAGAGAACUCAGGAGAAGGAACUCGGCAAAUUGACACCGUAACUUCGGAAGAAGGUGUGCCCUAUUAGUGUGUAGUGAACAACGAAGCAUGAAUGGGUUGCAAAAAAUCGGUGGCUGCGACUGUUUAUUAAAAACACAGCACUCUGCAAACACGAAAGUGGACGUAUAGGGUGUGACGCCUGCCCGGUGCUGGAAGAUUAAAUGAUGGGGUGCAAGCUCUUGAUUGAAGUCCCAGUAAACGGCGGCCGUAACGAUAACGGUCCUAAGGUAGCGAAAUUCCUUGUCGGGUAAGUUCCGACCUGCACGAAUGGCGUAACGAUGGCCACACUGUCUCCUCCUGAGACUCAGCGAAGUUGAAAUGUUUGUGAUGAUGCAAUCUCCCCGCGGAAAGACGGAAAGACCCCAUGAACCUUUACUGUAGCUUUGUAUUGGACUUUGAACAGAUCUGUGUAGGAUAGGUGGGAGGCUUUGAAGCAGGGUCGCUAGAUCUUGUGGAGCCAACGUUGAAAUACCACCCUGGUGUGUUUGAGGUUCUAACCUAGGUCCAUUAUCUGGAUCGGGGACAGUGCAUGGUAGGCAGUUUGACUGGGGCGGUCUCCUCCCAAAGCGUAACGGAGGAGUUCGAAGGUACGCUAGUUACGGUCGGACAUCGUGACGAUAGUGCAAUGGCAUAAGCGUGCUUAACUGCGAGACUGACAAGUCGAGCAGAUGCGAAAGCAGGACAUAGUGAUCCGGUGGUUCUGUAUGGAAGGGCCAUCGCUCAACGGAUAAAAGGUACUCUGGGGAUAACAGGCUGAUACCGCCCAAGAGUUCAUAUCGACGGCGGUGUUUGGCACCUCGAUGUCGGCUCAUCUCAUCCUGGGGCUGUAGCCGGUCCCAAGGGUAUGGCUGUUCGCCAUUUAAAGAGGUACGUGAGCUGGGUUUAAAACGUCGUGAGACAGUUUGGUCCCUAUCUUCCGUGGGCGCUGCAGAUUUGAGGAAGCCUGCUCCUAGUACGAGAGGACCGGAGUGGACACACCUCUGGUGUAUCGGUUGUCACGCCAGUGGCAUUGCCGAGUAGCUAAGUGUGGAAGAGAUAACCGCUGAAAGCAUCUAAGCGGGAAACUCGUUUCAAGAUGAGAUCUGCCGGGGCCUUGAGCCCUCUAAAGAGUCGUUCAAGACCAGGACGUUGAUAGGUCAGGUGUGGAAGCUAAAAG